rnacentral:rRNA from 1 species
GACGAACGCUGGCGGCGUGCUUAACACAUGCAAGUCGAACGGAAAGGCCCUGCUUUUGUGGGGUGCUCGAGUGGCGAACGGGUGAGUAACACGUGAGUAACCUGCCCUUGACUUUGGGAUAACUUCAGGAAACUGGGGCUAAUACCGGAUAGGAGCUCCUGCUGCAUGGUGGGGGUUGGAAAGUUUCGGCGGUUGGGGAUGGACUCGCGGCCUAUCAGCUUGUUGGUGGGGUAGUGGCUUACCAAGGCUUUGACGGGUAGCCGGCCUGAGAGGGUGACCGGCCACAUUGGGACUGAGAUACGGCCCAGACUCCUACGGGAGGCAGCAGUGGGGAAUAUUGCACAAUGGGCGGGAGCCUGAUGCAGCAACGCCGCGUGCGGGAUGACGGCCUUCGGGUUGUAAACCGCUUUCGCCUGUGACGAAGCGUGAGUGACGGUAAUGGGUAAAGAAGCACCGGCUAACUACGUG